GCCCAAGCUUUAAUAAUUUAUCAACAGGCGCUCCUCUUAAAAAUAAGUAUAGACAACAAAAGCCAAAAUUACAAAAAAUAAAUUAUAUGAUUAGUCUGUGUUGCUUGUUGAAUAGAUAACAUUCUAACAUUCAAGUUCAUUCAGAUAAGAAAAAGAUGUAUUUUGCAUUCAUAAUAUCUGUCUUAGUUAUACUUCUCGGAUGGUAUUACUAUAAAACAACGACGGGUUAUGGUAGUUUUAAGGCUAAAGGAUUCUCUGAAGAGAAGGCUUCCUUCCCUUUUGGCUCAAAAAUGUUCUGGGAUUUAUAUCUGAGACGGAGAAGCUUUAGAGACUAUGCGAAUUCAUACAAACAAAAAUAUCCCCAUGACAAAUUCUUUAUUGCCUGGGACUUUGGAGUACCCAGAGUUAUAGUUUUGGACGUUGAAUUAGCAAAAACCAUAUUAGUUAAAGAUUUUGAGUAUUUCUCCAACAGAAGACCCUUCCCAAAGUUGUGGGGGGAUAAAAAUAAGUAUUUUGUAAAUAUGAUGUCUGUACUUUCGGAUAUAGAAAAAUGGAAGAGUAUUCGAACAAUGAUGACCCCGGUUUUCACAAGUGGAAAGUUAAAAGCAAUGCUCCCACAUUUAGAUCAAGCUGCAGACGAUAUGUUGGAUUUUAUAGGGAAAUUAGAUUUAAAAAUGAUUGACUCAAGGUACAUAAUUAGUCGAUAUACUACGGAAAGUAUUGCUAAAGCAGGUUUUGGGGUGGAAGCAGGCUGCUUCGACACGAUUGACGAAUCACCGUUUAUGAAUAAUGUUGACAUUAUAACAAGUAGGAAGGGCAGUAAAUGGAGACAAGCAUUGGUUUUUGCGUUAUUCCUAUUUCUUCCAAAUUGGUUAGUCAAAAUCCUUCCAAUUUCUUUCUUGGACCCAAAAAGUCAGGACUUCUUCAUAAAAAUGAUCGAAGGCUCAAUUGAGCAUCGUAAAAAAAGUAAUGUUACUCGUGGAGAUUUUGUCGAUCUCUUGAUACAAGAAUAUAAUAAAAUUGAAAGUAAAGGACAAGAAAAUGGCGAUGAAGAGGAAAUAACGCAAUUUGACAAGGAUGCUAAAAUUCAAAAAAUGAACUUAAAGGCAUUAGAUAAAGAAGAGUUAGAGACUUUGUUGAUUGCAAACGUAUUUAUACUCUUGUUUGCUGGUUUUGAAACGACUUCAUCAAUGAUGACUGCAAUGCUCGUCUAUUUGGCCAACUAUCCAGAAGUGCAAGAAAAACUCUUUGAAGAAAUUUUUGAUACCAUACAGAAUAAUACAAAUCAAAAUGGAAUCUUAAGUUAUAAUGAAAUUAUGGGAAUGAAGUAUUUAGACAUGUUUGUCCACGAAGUUCUUCGUCAUUUUCCAUUCCUCACUUUGGAGAGAUCUUGCACAAAACCUUAUCGUAUACCAGGCACAAACAUGGACAUUGAUACAGAAACAUUAUUCAUCUUUCCAAACGAUGCCUUUAGUUUGAAUGGAGAGCAUUUUGAGGAACCUACAAAAUUCAAUCCAAAUAACUUUGAGGAUGAAAAAAAAAGAGAGAGAAGUGUCUAUAGCUUUAUGGCUUUUGGCCAUGGACCAAGGAAUUGUAUUGGGAUGAGGUUUGCACUUCUUCAAAUCAAAACAUGCAUUUACCGACUUCUUCAAAGUUACAAAAUAUUGCCUAAUGAAAAGACUGUUGAUGAAAUUGUAGUUGCUCCAACUGAAAUGAAUCCUGAUAUAAAAGGGGGAGCAUGGGUUAAAUUUGAAAAAAGAAUUAAUUGAAAGGAAGGACUUUUCAUUUUACAUAUUAUCUAUUUAUUAUUUAUAAUUAUUCCAUGUCUUGCCGGAAUAUAAAAAUAAAAAAAGAAAAAGGAACGUGGUAAUCCUGACAAUUUGAAAAUUUUUCGAUGGGGAGAAGCUGUGUGGUCAUUGUGUUCUAUUAAAUACACUGCAAGCAGCCUUGAGAGAAUGUUUUGGAGGAGAUCCCCUAGAAGCAGAUGGGAGAAGGGAGAAUGAAAUAAAUAAGGACAGAAGGCAGAAAUUACUCCAAUGUCGACUCCCACUUCUACUCUUCCUAGUCUUAGUCCAACAAGGACUUACAAUAAUAACUCGGCAACAAAUCCUUAAGGUUAUGAGCCUUUUAUAAGCACACGAGAAUGGUCAACUAGGUUUUGAAUCUAUUGAGGAAAGGAAGUUCACUGCUCAGGAAUUAAAUAAUAAA
rnacentral:misc_RNA from 1 species